rnacentral:rRNA from 1 species
AUUGAACGCUGGCGGCAUGCCUUACACAUGCAAGUCGAACGGUAACGCGGGGCAACCUGGCGACGAGUGGCGAACGGGUGAGUAAUGCAUCGGAACGUGCCUGGUAGUGGGGGAUAACUGCUCGAAAGAGCAGCUAAUACCGCAUACGACCUGAGGGUGAAAGGGGGGGAUCGCAAGACCUCUCGCUAUCAGAGCGGCCGAUGUCGGAUUAGCUAGUUGGUGGGGUAAAGGCCCACCAAGGCAACGAUCCGUAGCUGGUCUGAGAGGACGACCAGCCACACGGGGACUGAGACACGGCCCAGACUCCUACGGGAGGCAGCAGUGGGGAAUUUUGGACAAUGGACGCAAGUCUGAUCCAGCCAUGCCGCGUGCGGGAAGAAGGCCUUCGGGUUGUAAACCGCUUUUGUCAGGGAAGAAAUCUUCUGGGCUAAUACCCUGGGAGGAUGACGGUACCUGAAGAAUAAGCACCGGCUAACUACGUGCCAGCAGCCGCCGUAACAC